rnacentral:lncRNA from 1 species
GACUAGAAAUAGACAAGAAGCAGCAGGGUUUAGGGCUGGCCUGCCACCCUCAAAAAGGGUACAGGGCCCCUCUGCAUCCUUUCUUCACAGUUUCUUUUCUAAACCUGGAUCCUGUGUCCAUAGCAGGUAGGGGGCUGGCCAGAUCUCAGUGGUUCCUUCAGGCCCCACCCAGGAAAGAUCACAGGUCCUCUUUGCUCGCAGAGGCCCCAGAUUUAUUCGGGUGACCAUCCCCAGACUGGAGUCAUGACCCUGAGUGGGAUGCGGGGACAGAGUGCAACACCUUUCCAAUGGGCUUCAUUUCUCUCUGGCUUCCUCUCUGAUUCUCUUUCCUCCCACUCCCGAAUCCUCUGAGACUGUUGUUCAGACCUUGGUCUUGAAAGCGAUCAAGACUCCUCUCUGUUUUAAGUUUUAAAUAAAAAGCCUGCAUAUUCCCCUGCUUCUUUCUCUCUGCAUUUCUGAAAUCCUCCUCUGAAGGCCAGAGAACUCACCAGACAUUCAGCGGAGGGACCUCAGGAUGAAGGUUCGUGUGGGUUUAGGGACGGGAAAGGUUAAUAUUCACCGUUAUCAUCCUGCCACUUAUUAAAAGUUAUUUCUUUUCAAAGAUAUUUACCAUGCUUCAGUAAUAAACACAGAAGACAGAUGCUAAAAUGAUCCAUCAUGUGAUCAUGAAGAGAGAAGAACAGCACCACAGUGUAUUACAAAUUCACCUCUUGCUGCGCAAGCUGUGACUCCCCUGUAAGGUNNNNNNNNNNNNNNAAAAGGGAAGGCCCUAAGCCUGGGAGCCUCAAAUCCAGACCUGCACCGUGAGCCGCCUGGGACCCUUGCAAUUUCUCACAAGUGCACCUUCCCAUGAGGCUGCAGCCUGCCGACCAAGACACGUCUAUGACCAGUGCGCGCGAACGCCCAGAGCCAGCAGACACACAUCCUCCUGUGUUGGAGGUCCCCACAGGUUAUUGCUCAGUCAAGCUCACCUCAAAGAUGAAGACAUGAGAUCCCAUAUAGGCCCCUUGGAUUCCAGCCCAAGCUAGAGGCAAUUUUUUUGAUGC